ACCGGUAAAAGACAGAUGGUUCACAUAUUCCAAAGAGUGAUCGCGUUCGUUCGGUACUCUUCGGAAUAUGUGAAUUUUUUCAUGUACAUGAAAAAAUCAUAUAUUGCUAACAUUUAUUUUUGGAGGUUUUCUCACAUGAAACAAGGUACAGUAAAAUGGUUUAACUCAGAAAAAGGUUUCGGAUUCAUCGAAGUAGAUGGCGAAAACGACGUAUUCGUACAUUUCUCAGCAAUCCAAGGCGAAGGUUUCAAAACUCUUGACGAAGGUCAAAAAGUGGAAUUCGAAGUUGUUGAUGGCAACCGUGGUCCACAAGCUGCUAACGUAACUAAACUUUAAUUUUUAUAAUUAAACUUAUUUUCGUUAAAAUGAAGGCAAAGCUAACAGCGCGUUAGCUUUGUUUUU
rnacentral:sRNA from 1 species